AGUGGGGAAUUUUCCGCAAUGGGCGAAAGCCUGACGGAGCAAUACCGCGUGAGGGAGGAAGGCUCUUGGGUUGUAAACCUCUUUUCUCAGGGAAGAACACAAUGACGGUACCUGAGGAAUCAGCAUCGGCUAACUCCGUGCCAGCAGCCGCGGUAAUACGGAGGAUGCAAGCGUUAUCCGGAAUGAUUGGGCGUAAAGCGUCCGCAGGUGGCUGUGUGAGUCUGCUGUCAAAGAGCGAAGCUCAACUUCGUAAAGGCAGUGGAAACUACACGGCUAGAGUGCGUUCGGGGCAGAGGGAAUUCCUGGUGUAGCGGUGAAAUGCGUAGAGAUCAGGAAGAACACCGGUGGCGAAGGCGCUCUGCUAGGCCGCAACUGACACUGAGGGACGAAAGCUAGGGGAGCGAAUGGGAUUAGAUACCCCAGUAGUCCUAGCUGUAAACGAUGGAUACUAGGCGUGGCUUGUAUCGAC
rnacentral:rRNA from 1 species